rnacentral:rRNA from 1 species
ACACGUGAGAAACCUGCCCUGGAGAUUGGGACAACCCGAGGAAACUCGGGCUAAUACCGAAUACCUUCACCGGACCGCAUGGUCUGGUGAAGAAAUGCUCCGGCGCUCUGGGAGGGUCUCGCGGCCUAUCAGCUAGUUGGUGAGGUAACGGCUCACCAAGGGCAUCGACGGGUAGCUGGUCUGAGAGGACGAUCAGCCACACUGGGACUGAGACACGGCCCAGACUCCUACGGGAGGCAGCAGUAGGGAAUCUUGCGCAAUGGGCGAAAGCCUGACGCAGCAACGCCGCGUGGGGGAUGA